GCGGGUGUAGCUCAGCGGGUAGAGCGUCACGUUGCCAACGUGAAGGUCGUGGGUCCGAACCCCAUCACCCGCU
rnacentral:tRNA from 1 species